rnacentral:lncRNA from 1 species
CAACAUACACUUAAUAAUUGUAUCAUGCCCAAGAAAAUCAUAUGAACAAUAAUUAGUAUAGAAUAAUAACAUUUUCUCCCACAAAAUAGUAAGUGUUGAGCAACGGUGGCAAUCAGGUUAGGUCAAAUAUAAAUCAGGCUAAAAAUUCAUCAAAUCUGAAUCUAUUUAUUAAAUAGAUCAAAAGAUCUAGAUUCAAAUUUGAUCUUUUUAUUAAAUAUGUAACUUGACCUGAUCUACGUAACCCAUUUACUAAAU